GACGAACGCUGGCGGCGUGCCUAACACAUGCAAGUCGAACGGAGUGGCAAACGGGUGAGGAAGACGUAAACAACCUGCCUUAAGGAUGGGGAUAACAGACGGAAACGAAUACUAAUACCGAAUAUCUUAAGAGGGGUUUGCGACUGAUAAGGUAGUUGGUGAGGUCACGGCUCACCAAGCCGACGAUGAGUAGCCGGUCUUAGAGGAUGAACGGCCACACUGGAACUGAGACACGGCCCAGACUCCUACGGGAGGCAGCAGUGGGGAAUCUUCCGCAAUGGACGAAAGUCUGACGGAGCAACGCCGCGUGAACGAAGAAGGUCUUCGGAUUGUAAAGCUCUGUGGUUCGAGACGCGGUACCGAAAAAGAAAGCCACGGCUAACUACGUGCCAGCAGCCGCGGUAAUUC
rnacentral:rRNA from 1 species